rnacentral:rRNA from 1 species
UACGGAGGGUGCAAGCGUUAAUCGGAAUUACUGGGCGUAAAGCGCACGUAGGUGGUUUGUUAAGCUAGCUGUGAAAUCCCCGGGCUCAACCUGGGCACUGCAGUUGGAACUGGCAAGCUAGAGUAGGGUAGAGGGGUGUGGAAUUCCAGGUGUAGCGGUGAAAUGCGUAGAUAUCUGGAGGAACAUCAGUGGCGAAGGCGACACCCUGGACUCAUACUGACACUGAGGUGCGAAAGCGUGGGGAGCAAACAGG